AUGGACUUCGAGGCCGACGGCCGCUUCGGCAACAAGCGCGUGCACAACCGCCUCGGACCGGCGCCCGGCGCCGCCUCUUCGUCUUCCUCUACCAAGGUCUGCAUCCAUUGGCGCGCUGGGCGAUGCAAUCGCUUCCCCUGCCCCUUCCUCCAUAGCGAGCUCCCUGAGGCGGCCACCACCAAGCGCCCGAACCAAAGGGAUGGCCCUGGUGGGCACGUCUGGCGCAACCCCAACUCAGGAGGAGGCGGCCGCGGCGGCGGCGGCUUCAACAAAUGGGGGAGGGGCCCCGGAGGCGCAGACGGUGGCGUGAGGCACAAGGUGCCCGACCGGCCCUGCAAGUUCUUCCUCGCCGGAGACUGCACUUACGGCGAGAAGUGCCGCUACCCGCACACAUAUUGCAUGAGCAAUAGCAUCACUCUGCUCACCCCUCUCCAGGGCCACGAGAAGGUUGUGACAGGGAUCGCACUGCCUACUGGGUCAGACAAGCUGUAUUCUGGUAGUAAGGAUGGAACAGUGCGCCUUUGGGAUUGUCAAACUGGACAGUGUGCUGGUGUCCUCCCCGUGGGGGGUGAGGUUGGGUGCAUGAUCAGCGAGGGGCCAUGGUUGUUUGUUGGAAUACCUGAUGCUGUCAAGGUUUGGAAUAUGCAAACUCAAGCAGAAAUGAACCUCACCGGGCCGACUGGACAAGUCUAUGCACUCGCAAUUGGCAAUGAGCUACUCUUUGCUGCAACACAGGAUGGAAGGAUUUUGGCAUGGAGAUUUAGCACCGUGACAAAUUGUUUUGAGCCAGCUGCUUCUCUUACCGGGCACCAGCUUGCUGUUGUUUCGUUAAUAGUAGGAGGCAUGAGACUUUACUCUGGCUCAAUGGAUAAAACCAUUAGAGUAUGGGAUCUGGCAACGUUGCAGUGCAUACAGACUCUUUCUGAUCAUACGAAUGUAGUUAUGUCUCUACUAUGCUGGGAUCAGUUUCUGUUAUCUUGUUCUUUGGAUCAAACAAUAAAAGUCUGGGCGGCUACAGAAAGUGGAAACUUGGAAGUAACAUAUACACACAAAGAGGAGAACGGUGCACUUGCUCUUACUGGCAUGCCUGAUGCACAAUCAAAACCUGUGCUAGUAUGUUCAUUAAAUGACAACACUGUCCGCCUCUAUGACCUGCCAUCGUUCAGUGAUAGGGGCAGAAUAUUCUCCAAGCAGGAAAUUAGGGCAAUACAAACUGGACCUGGUGGUUUAUUUUUCACUGGGGAUGGAACCGGUGAGCUGAAGGUUUGGCAAUGGAUUAUUGAUGCCUCCCAAACCUGA
rnacentral:rRNA from 1 species